UGGGAUGAGUGAAUGUGGGCAGCCCAGU
rnacentral:piRNA from 1 species